rnacentral:rRNA from 1 species
AACGAACGCUGGCGGCAGGCUUAACACAUGCAAGUCGAGCGCCCCGCAAGGGGAGCGGCAGACGGGUGAGUAACGCGUGGGAAUCUACCCAUCUCUACGGAAUAACGCAUGGAAACGUGUGCUAAUACCGUAUACGUCCUUCGGGAGAAAGAUUUAUCGGGGAUGGAUGAGCCCGCGUUGGAUUAGCUAGUUGGUGGGGUAAAGGCCUACCAAGGCGACGAUCCAUAGCUGGUCUGAGAGGAUGAUCAGCCACACUGGGACUGAGACACGGCCCAGACUGCUACGGGAGGCAGCAGUGGGGAAUAUUGGACAAUGGGCGCAAGCCUGAUCCAGCCAUGCCGCGUGAGUGAUGAAGGCCCUAGGGUUGUAAAGCUCUUUCACCGGUGAAGAUAAUGACGGUAACCGGAGAAGAAGCCCCGGCUAACUUCGUGCCAGCCGCCGCGGUAACAC